GGGCCCGUCGCCUAGCACGGAUCAGGGCACUGACAAGAGGAGCCAGAGACCGAGAGUUCGAAUCUCUCCGGGCCCGCCA
rnacentral:tRNA from 1 species